UACGAAGGGGGCUAGCGUUGUCCGGAUUCAUUGGGCGUAAAGAGCUCGUAGGCGGUUCAGUUAGUCGGGUGUGAAAUCUCCGGGCUCAACCCGGAGGGGCCACCCGAUACUGCUGUGACUUGAGUCCGGUAGGGGAGUGGGGAAUUCCUGGUGUAGCGGUGAAAUGCGCAGAUAUCAGGAGGAACACCGGUGGCGAAGGCGGGUCUCUGGGCCGAUACUGACGCUGAGGAGCGAAAGCGUGGGGAGCGAACAGG
rnacentral:rRNA from 1 species